GACAUCUCUAAUCCGAACAAUGAGGGUGGACAUUAUGUCUCUCAGUUGAGAUGGUAAUCCAACGCUGAUGAAAAGAAGCAAAGUAAUCCACAAGAGUCUCAGGAAAAGAGAUUUCUGUUCAGUGUAUUGAGAACUCUAAUGGAAAUCCUGGUGUGGUCGUCUAUGAUGAUAAAACAUACCCUGUUUCCUUGCAACAAGAUGCCAAUCAGGGCACUGCUUCUGGAGAUA